rnacentral:SRP_RNA from 1 species
GCCGGGUGUGGUGGUGCACGCCUGUUGUCCCAGCUACUCAGGAGGCUGAGGCAGGAGAAUUGCUUGAGCCUGGGAGGCGGAGGCUGCAAUGUGCCAUGAUGGCGCCACUGCACUCCAGCCUGGGCAACAGAGUGAGACUCUGUCUCAA